UACGUAGGGCGCAAGCGUUACUCGGAAUCACUGGGCAUAAAGGGCGUGUAGGCGGAUGCGUAAGUCCGGUGUAAAAUCCCUCGGCUCAACCGGGGAAUGCCAUUGGAUACUGCGUAUCUGGAGUGCGGGAGGGGAGAGUGGAACUCUUGGUGGAGCGGUGAAAUGCGUAGAUAUCAAGAGGAACGCCGGUGGCGAAAGCGACUCUCUGGCCCGUUACUGACGCUGAGGCGCGAAAGCUAGGGGAGCAAACGGG
rnacentral:rRNA from 1 species